UACGUAGGGUGCAAGCGUUGUCCGGAAUUAUUGGGCGUAAAGAGCUCGUAGGCGGUUUGUCGCGUCUGCUGUGAAAACCCGAGGCUCAACCUCGGGCCUGCAGUGGGUACGGGCAGACUAGAGUGCGGUAGGGGAGAUUGGAAUUCCUGGUGUAGCGGUGGAAUGCGCAGAUAUCAGGAGGAACACCGGUGGCGAAGGCGGGUCUCUGGGCCGUAACUGACGCUGAGGCACGAAAGCGUGGGGAUCAAACAGG
rnacentral:rRNA from 1 species